rnacentral:rRNA from 1 species
AUUGAACGCUGGCGGCAGGCCUAACACAUGCAAGUCGAACGGUAGCACAGAGAGCUUGCUCUCGGGUGACGAGUGGCGGACGGGUGAGUAACGUCUGGGAAACUGCCCGAUGGAGGGGGAUAACUACUGGAAACGGUAGCUAAUACCGCAUAACGUCGCAAGACCAAAGUGGGGGACCUUCGGGCCUCACACCAUCGGAUGUGCCCAGAUGGGAUUAGCUAGUAGGGGGGGUAAUGGCUCACCUAGGCGACGAUCCCUAGCUGGUCUGAGAGGAUGACCAGCCACACGGGAACUGGGAAACGGUCCAGACUCCUACGGGAGGCAGCAGUGGGGAAUAUUGCACAAUGGGCGCAAGCCUGAUGCAGCCAUGCCGCGUGUAUGAAGAAGGCCUUCGGGUUGUAAAGUACUUUCAGCGGGGAGGAAGGCGGUGGAGUUAAUAACUUCACCGAUUGACGUUACCCGCAGAAGAAGCACCGGCUAACUCCGUGCCAGCCGCCGCCGUAA